GAUAAGAUUGCCCACCCCUGAUCUAGAGGGCAGGGUUUGAGAACAACAGUUACUGUUUUUACCUACAGUUAGACAUACAGCAGCAUAUCUCAACCCAGUGUUGGGUGCUGGAGGGAAGCAAAAAUGUGGGCUGUCUGGGGUUUCAAGAAGACUGGGUUGGGCAACUAUGGCCCAUAGGAUCCAUCCACCUUAUGAAGAACUGACAUUCUGUCCAAGAUGUACCAUACCUCACGCCAUGUUUCCUGAAGCAACAGCAGCCUCAUCAGAUGAAAAUGAAAGUGAUUCUUUGUGUGUGGGGCUGACAACUUCAGGAAGUUCAAACCACUUCUGAUGCCAGGUAAUGUAGCAUUUUCUAAGCAUUCAUAUACACGGUGACCAAACUGCA